rnacentral:rRNA from 1 species
UACGGGGGGGGCGAAGCGUUGUUCGGAAUUACUGGGCGUAAAGGCUCGUAGGCGGCCAACUAAGUCCGACGUGAAAUCCCCAGGCUUAACCUGGGAACUGCGUCGGAUACUGGAUGGCUUGAAUCCGGGAGAGGGAUGCGGAAUUCCAGGUGUAGCGGUGAAAUGCGUAGAUAUCUGGAGGAACACCGGUGGCGAAGGCGGCAUCCUGGACCGGCAUUGACGCUGAGGAGCGAAAGCCAGGGGAGCAAACGGG